GAUCAGCAUCCAUCAAGAAGCAUGUGCAACCUUCUAGUCUCCGUUUUCUUCAGAGAUGCAAGGUUUGGCUACUUUGGAUGUAUCUUUAUACAGCUAAGACUAAUAAGUCUAGCUAUUAUUUUUCAAUAACACUCUACUGAGUCAAAUGUAAUUAAAAAAAGUAGGAAUUAUGAAAUCCUGAAUAAUGUUUAGCGCGCAAUUUAAAUUAGCAUGGGCAGGUAUCAUCUUUCAUGGUACCAAUAAUCUUGGAUAUUUAUUCAUAUAAUACAUGUUUGGCGCAAGUCAAAUGAAGUCCAAGUAAAAAUAAAUUGGCUCGCCAACCAGCUCACUGCUCUAUUGUCAAUCAUUUUGCUCUUAAGUAAUAUUUGUUAUUGGCGCUUCUUGGAUUUUACGAAAGUGUGGUUGAAUAUUGUGUAUAAGUAGAGAGGAUCAAUAAGUAUGAGGACAAGGGAUAAAAUAUUUUAUUGAGUAGUUGUGUGGUACACAAUUUUACUAUAUUACAGGUCGUACAUCCGAGCCAUAUAUAAACUUGUUAAUAGACUUUGACAAGGCAACCAACUAAUUUUUUCUAAUACUUUGUACUAGUUAACGGUUAUGUUACAAAACUUGCUUCUCAUGUCCACAAUUUCCAUGUUGUAUUUUGACUUUGUCUUCACUUCUUAAUUGACUUUAUAUGCACCGUUUCAACUUAAACUUCUCUUUGCCAGUUGUAGUUGAUCAAGCAAAGUUACUUAGUUAUUUCGGUUGCUCCUUGCUCAAGUUCUCUAGAGUCUAGAAUCCAUAGAUUUCUCUAGAAAAAUUGGUCAAACUUAAACAAACUUAAUGUUCAAGUCAUGUCAUGACAUAGAUAAGUUGGAUCUGUCUUCUUUAAUGCUCAAUUAUUGAUUGCAGACAUGAGUUCGGAGUAGAUGAACUUGGUUUAGAGAUAUCGGGGAUCACUUUUUCUGCUUUUUUGGCUUUGGCGGCUAACCCUAUCACUUCCUUAAUUCAUACUGUCAUAUGACGAUUAAGUCUACGUUUUUUCACAUGAUUUCUAUAGCAUGUCAUGGUUUUAUAUGAUCAUAUACAUGAUCUAGAAUUUGAUUCUAGGUCUACGUUCUCAUCAUUUGACUUACCAGUUGAGUUAACUUGGUUUUUAAAUGAGUAUUUCUUAUAAUGGUGGAGCUGGUGACCGGAAGAAAAGUAGAGGAUCUUAAUCGGCUCGAGGACCAGCAGUGUCUGGCGGAGUGGGCAUGUCCCUUGUUGGAAGAGUAUGCAAUCCAUGAACUGAUGGACCCUUGCUUGGGAGAUCAAUUUUCAUAGUGAGAGGUUUAUUGCAUUCUCCAUGCUGCAUCCCAUUGUAUUCGACGGGAUCCUGAGUCAAGACCUCGCAUGUCACAGGUAAAGACUUUGAUAAAGCAAUGGAAUGCCAAAUGGUUGCCACAUGUUAGUUAGGAAACGUUUGUAGGUACACACUGAACGAGAGUGCCUACUGCUGGAGUCAGAUGCUUGAAUCAUAUCGAAAUUGUUGGUUGUUUUGGAGAGACUUUUUGAGUGGUUUGUUUUAAAGAGACAUUGAAUCAACAUUUCUUUCGUUUUUCUUUUUCAUUUUUGAGAAGGUGCUUCGAAUCCUGGAAGGGGACAUGCACGUAGAUGCAAAUUACACGUCGAUUGUUCGGGUCAAUGUUGGAAGCCAUAACAGAAGGAUCCGUGAUGAGCAACAACAUGACAGUGAUCUUCUAUUGGAUGAAAACAGGUAAGUGCUCACUAGAAAACUAUUCGGGUUUUUUGUGUUUGAAUUCAUCAGGAGUCUUAUCUUGUCUUCUUAAUGCGGAACAUUUGGAAAAUAGAUGGUCGUUUUCUUGAUUUAUUUGUUCUGGUACUUACUUUUGUGUGAAUAGUUUUCAAGUAACAAUGAAUUUGAGAACUUAGCUCAUUCUAUGAUGGCUAAUUCAGAGUCAUAAGUU